rnacentral:tRNA from 1 species
ACCGGGGUGGCUAAGUCGUUAAGCAUCUGACUUCCGCUCAGGUCAUGAUCUCACGGGUUCGUGAGUUCAAGUCCCACGUCGGGUG